rnacentral:rRNA from 1 species
GAGUUUGAUCAUGGCUCAGGAUGAACGCUAGCGGCAGGCUUAAUACAUGCAAGUCGUGGGGCAGCAGGUCCCGACGCAAGUCGGGAUGCUGGCGACCGGCAAACGGGUGCGGAACACGUACACAACCUUCCUUUAAGUGGGGAAUAGCCCGGGGAAACCCGGAUUAAUACCCCGUAACAUAAUGAAGUGGCAUCACUUUAUUAUUAUAGCAGCAGUGCGCUUAUAGAUGGGUGUGCGACUGAUUAGGCAGUUGGCGGGUAACGGCCCACCAAACCUACGAUCAGUAACUGGUGUGAGAGCACGACCAGUCACGACGGGCACUGAGACACGGGCCCGACUCCUACGGGAGGCAGCAGUAAGGAAUAUUGGUCAAUGGACGCAAGUCUGAACCAGCCAUGCCGCGUGGAGGAUGAA